GACGAACCGUGCGAACGUUAUUCGGAAUCACUGGGCUUAAAGCGCGUGUAGGCGGCCCGGCACGUCAGUCGCUGAAAUCCCCCGGCUCAACCGGGGAACUGGCGUUGAUACGACCGGGCUGGAGGGGGGUAGGGGGGACGGGAACUCACGGUGGAGCGGUGAAAUGCGUUGAGAUCGUGAGGAACGCCCGUGGCGAAAGCGCGUCCCUGGACCCCACCUGACGCUGAGACGCGAAAGCCAGGGGAGCGAACGGG
rnacentral:rRNA from 1 species